UCUGGCGUACUCAACAGGUAAGAGGACUGGCUGUUAACCAGUUAGAUGCACGUUCGAAUCGUGCCGCCAGAGCCA
rnacentral:tRNA from 1 species